AGCGCUUUGUCUGCUCCAUCUAUGCUGGGAUAUGAAACAACUCUUUUGUGAGGAGGGCAGUAGUGUGGUGCAUCAGCUGUGAAACCAGUGGGGCCUUAACACUGUAGCAGAGACCUGCCUGCCGGUUCUUUGCUACCUUUUGAGCACAGCCCUAACCUUUGAGACUAUUCUAUUUACCAAGAAGAAAAAUAAUUAUUCCAAUGGAUAUUUCAGAGAUUCUAAUGUCAGCUGCUUUUCUGCUUUCACAAAGGCUCAAUCCUGAUAUGACUGUUGACUUCAGUAAAGGUUGAGUCUCAGAAUUUCCCAGUGCAAGGGGAUCCCUGCAGUUUCCUCCCCUGAAGAUGAUCUCUAAGUGCAUGAACUAUCCUGUGUGUCCAGCAGCAACUGCUGAUCAUCAUUCUAUCUGCAGAGACUACUGAGCAGCACUUAAUUCAGCUGAUGGAAAUUUUCUGCUAGACAGAGCCCUGACUCCAUAGCUGUUACGGUGAUGUGUCUGUAUCAGCAGUGUGAUGGUUUGAAGAGGUUCCCCUGCAACCAGCCCAUCAUUUCAUGAAGAAUUAACAAGUGCAGAUGUGUAGCUCUUCAUGAGAGACACAUGAACAGCAUUCACUUCACUAAUUUCAGAUAAAAUGCUUUAUUCUUUGCUUAUCUCAGCUGAUCCCCCUGAGUAUCAUAGACCCAUGAAGCCUACUGUCUGAAUCCAAAUUAUUCUCUGGAACAACAGGCAGUAUUUUCAAUCAACUGUGCAAUAAACUCAGCAAUACAGAUGUUUCAGACAAAAUGUAGCUCCCUAAGGACAAAACUCCACAAAAGGAUUAAAAAAGGUCUGUAACCACUAUGCAGGGGUUAGGAGCAGCUGCAAGCGGGGUUUUCCAGAGUUGAAAGAACCACCCUAGAACAGGUGGCCCAUCCCAGGUAACACAACCCAGAGCAAUGAUAUGUGGUCACCUGUUAUAACCAAGUAUCAACUGGGAUUAGCAUUUCAGGUCAGCAAACUUUUAGCAGAGAAUGGAGCAAAGCUUUUGGAACCACAGCAAGAUACUUUGCCUCUCUGUCACAGAGCGUGAUGUCUCUAAUUUAGCUUGAGUGGUGGGCGGAAACGCUUACACAGCAGCUUCAGGGAAAGGAGGUGGAAGAGACACAACAAACAGUUAGAGCCUGCUGGUAAAGAUGCCUGCCUGCCAGGACAAAUAGAUGGGUGUGAAUUCUUUUUGGGAUAAGAUGCAAAUUGUCUCAGGUAGAAUAAGUGUAGUAUAGUGGAUAGGUCAUUUCUGGUUUGUUGGGGAUUAUUUCACAAAGUCAGGGACUAAGUUUCCACUAGCUUGAAGAGGAUGCAUCCCCUUGAACACCAAUUUAAGUUCCUAAACCACAAAAUGAAAUUCUCUGGACUCCAUGCUAGUUCCAGUGCAUCAGGGAGGUGCAUAACUGUUUUCUGUCUGAUGUUCAGCCUCUGACGCUCACUGUUCUGCUACGCCGCUGUAUUGAGCUCAGCUGCUGCUAGGUACCAGAAAUUUGUCUGGUGCUUGCACUUUGACAGAAGUGAAACAUCUGGUGACAUGCAAGAGCCCAGCUCACCUGUCUGCUGAAAAUUCAGCAAACUGAAAGCUCUGCACAAACCACAUUGGAUCUGUAAAUCCUCCCCUGUAAUCAGUUACCCCUGUAAUUGCAAUGGGAAAGAUGCAUCCUCAGUGACACGUGAGGGGAAACAAAUGGCACAGCUGCUGCAAGAUCCAGAGGCAAAGAGAGGAAAGUGGUAGUAAGGAGAUCACCCGUUUAGUUUUCCAUGUAAAUCUGUCCUGGAUGGAGCCCUUGCCCUGUGAAAUUGGAUCCCAAGAGGGUUCAAAGUGUGUUGGCUCAGCUGCUCUGUCCAGCAGGCUCGAACCUAUUUUGGUACAGGGAGGUUGAGGAUCAGCAGUCUCUUUCCUCCCCUCUCUUCAGAACUCUCCUGCUUAAUACUCCUUAGGUCAGAGAGAAAUAAUGACUCUUACUCUUCUCCAGAUAUUUUGUGAACGUGCAUAGGAAGAGGGACAUCCGUUGCUUCAAAAUAAUUUGAGCAUUUUGCACAAAAAUAGGAAAUGAUUUGCACAAUACAAAAAGUACCUUUUAAACCGUGAACUGAAAUGUGGGGAUUCCACCAAAUCAGAGGCUGCUUGCUCUAGUGUGCUCCUUCCCUCUCUUGAGCCACAGAGAGACUGUGAGAUUGUGCUGGUUUUCUUUUCCCAGGAUAAUCUGGUUUUGUGAUCAUCCACAAUGUGCAAGUACUGCCCCAGUCAGCUAAGUCGUUAUUUGUGAAGUGUACCUAAAGUAGGUUUUUCAUUUUAUUGGUUUUAAAAGGCAGAAUUUGAGCCCCUGAAUUUUGUUUUAAUUUUUCACAAUGAGUAAUUAAUACUUUUAUCUCCUGUUCAGUUCUUUUAUGGACUAAAUAAACAGCUGGUUUAAAUCA